CAAGCCGAAUCACGAUGAGAUCGCUCUGCUUUUUUUAGAGAAUCUCUCUUCAAUUAUGCGCCUCACCCAUUGGUGUUCUUAUCAUCUUCAUCGUUGUGCUGUAUUGCUAUUCUGCACAGCUAUUCUUCUCCUUUGGUGCUUCUCACUCAAUUAUUGCUCUGCUUCUUCUCAAGCGCACUACUCCUAGCAAGUCUCUCUCUAUUUUUGUGCUCUCUCUCUCUCUCACACAUUCUUGUCUCUCUGUUACUGGUUCUUCUUCUCAGGCUCAUCAGUCUCAUAUGUCACAUCUCCAAUUUCUUUGCUUCCAAACAUGGACGCUUCUCAGGCGGUUUCAGAUAACUGAGAAGAUCCACAUCAUCAAUGGAAAGAUUUGAAUUGCUUAACUCUUAUUUGACAUGUUUGUGUGCGGUGAUAUCUCCAUGCAUGUUCAUGGCAGAUUGGCUUCUCCAAUUUUCUUACUUCCAAGCAGUUGGCUAACUUGAAUUAUAUGCAGACCAUUUUGAGUUUAUGUGCAGGUUCUUUAAAUUUAUGGGAAAUUGGCUUCACUCGUAUUCCCAUGCACUUUCUUUGCUUCCAAAUAGUUGAAUUUCUUCAGGUCCAGAAAUAAAUCUAAUUGCACGUUAUUUUGAGCUUGCUGGCUCUGAUUGGUUUGUACGUGUGUGAUUUCUUCAUUCUCCAAAUUAAAAAACCAUCAAAGGCAUGACGACAUGAUUCUGUAGAUCGAAUAAAGUUUAUGUGCAGGUUCUUUAAAUUUAUGGGAAAUUGGCUUCACUCGUAUUCCCAUGCACUUUCUUUGCUUCCAAAUAGUUGAAUUUCUUCAGGUCCAGAAAUAAAUCUAAUUGCACGUUAUUUUGAGCUUGCUGGCUUUGAUUGGUUUGUACGUGUGUGAAUUCUUCGUUCUCCAAAUUAAAAAAACUAUCAAAGGCAUCACGACAUGAUUCAAUAGACCGAAUAAAGAUGACAACCAUUGGAGAAAGUGUUUUAACAAAUCUUGUCCAAAGAUUUGUGGAUGCAACACUUGAGGAAGCUAACUACUUAUGUUGCUUCAAGACUCAUGUUGAGAGCUUUGAGAAGAAAAAGAAACAAUUGGAAGCAAAACGAAACACAAUGCUAGAGUAGAGGAGAUUGAAGAUGUUAGAAAAAGAAAUGAGAAUAAAGAUGUUGCUGAAGUUCAGCAAUGGAUAGAUGAUGCUAAUGAUGUCAUUCAAAUAGACACAAAAAAAAGAAGAAAUGGUUUUGUGGUUGGUGUCCUAAUUGCAUUUGGCAAUAUCAACAAGGGAAGAUGUUGGCAAACAAGAUGAAUGAUGCCACAAAUCUCAUUGAAAGUUGUAAAUUUGAUAAAGUGGCACGUCCAGCUGAUCAUCUAGGCAUAUGCUCUAUUAUUUCAACAAAUUUUAUGGAUUUUGAAAGUAGAAAGUCAAAAUCCAAAGAAUUGGUUAAAGCAUUGGAGAAUGGAAAUUAUUACAUAAUCGGAUUGCAGGGCUUAGGGGGCACAGGUAAAACUACACUUGUUACACAAGCAGGAAAACAAGUUGAAGAAUCUAAAGCAUUUCACAAAGUCAUCUUCACAGUUGUGUCUAAUCCUCCAAAUAUCAAGAAGAUUCAACAAAACAUUGCAAUGCAAUUAGAUUUGCCAUUAGAGGAAGGAAAGGAAGAAAAACACUCAGAGGACUUAUGGAAGAGGAUUGUUAAUAUUAAAGGGAAGAUACUUAUAAUACUAGAUGACGUUUGGGAAAAGCUAGAUCUUAGAGGCAUAGGGAUUCCCAAUGGUCUUGAUCAGAAGAAUUGUUGUGUUUUGAUAACCACACGUGAUACCAAAGUUUGUGAAGUAAUGAGAUGCCAUUUAAUAAUUGCACUACAAACUUUAAAUGAAGUGGAUGCAUUGAAUCUUUUCAAAGAAAAUGCUGGAUUAGAAAGUGAUAAUUCUUCCAAAUUGGGUGUGGCAAGAGAAAUUGUGAAGGAGUGUGGAGGACUACCACUUGCAAUUGUGACAGUAGCAACAACAUUGAAAGGUUGGAAUCUACGAGAUUGGAAGAAUGCUUUGAAAACCUUGCAAAACUCUGGACCAUUGCAAAAUAUUCAUCAAGACUUGGUAAAGGUUUAUAGAAGCAUGGAGUUAAGCUAUAACUAUCUUGGGGUUGAAGCCCAAAAACUCCUCUUGUUAUGCUCUCUCUUUCCAGAGGAUUAUGAAAUUCCUAUAUCCCUUUUGAGCAAACUUGGUGUAGGAUUGGGCCUUUUUGGGGAAGCUGACAACUACUCUUCAGCAAGAAGAAAAGUGAUUCCUGUAAAAAAUGACCUUAUUAAAUCUUCAUUGUUAUUGGAGCCUAAGGAAAGUUGUGUGAAGACGCAUGACUUAGUUCGUGAAGUGGCCUUAUGAAUAGCAGACAGUGAGGUGCAAGUGAUCAUAAAUCUAAGGACGAAAUUAAAGCCAAACUUGAAAUUUUUGUUUUGGAGUAAUAAUGACUUUCCCAAUUGUUUUGAUGGUGCAAACCUUGAGAUUUUGAUACUUUGGAUAAAAGGAGAAGUUAAGGUGAAAGAUUCAUCUGCAAUAUUUGGUGAGAUGGACAAACUUAGAAUUUUGUAUAUGCUUUAUGACGAAACUAAGGUAUAUUUCAAUCUAUCAAUACAAUUGCUUCUUUCAUUAAAGAAUAUUCGAACUCUCAUCCUUGUUGGUUGGAAACUAGGUGACAUCUCUAUUUUGAAAAAUUUGCAAAGCCUUGAGACUCUUGAGCUGGAAAAUUGUUUAAUAUUUGAAUUACCAAAAAAAAUUAGGGAAAUAAAGAAGUUAAGAUUGUUGGGUUUAAGAAAAUGUAAAAUUAAAAAUAACAAUCCUUUUGAAGUGAUUGGAAGAUGCUCACAAUUGGAAGAAUUGUAUUUUGUUGAGAAUUAUAAUGUCAAAGAUUGGAAGCGGGGAGAUGACAAAGAAAUUGUUGGUGAAAUUGCUUGGCAAAUGUAUUCUAUUGCUUCGCCUGGUUUUAAAUGUUUUGCUGAUGAUGAUAAUGGCAUGUCAAAUUGCUUUAAACCAGAACUCAUUAAGAAUUUAAUAUCAAAAGCCAUGUUAAAGUACUUAGUAGGAAGAGCAGAAGUUCUUGAGUUGGGAAACAUUGGGCAAACAGGAUGGAAAUGUCUAGUCCCUGACAUUAUUCCUAUGAAAGUUGAACUCGUGAAUAAUUUGACUAAGCUUUAUUUGUAUGAAUGGGCUGACAUUGAGUGCCUUAUUGAUGUUAGUAAGAAUCAUUCUUAUUCUAACGUGCUUGUCUUUUCUGACUUGGUUGAGUUGCAUCUAGAUGGUGUGGAUGUAAAAGAAUUAUAUCAGGGUGAUGUGUCUUCUAGCUUUUUCAGCCAGUUGCAGAUUUUAAAGUUAAAGAAGUGUAAGAAACUAGACAAUAUAUUCUUAGAUGAAAGUCUCAAACUACCUCAUUUGAAGGUCUUGGGAUUGCAAGACUGCCCAAAGUUCCAACCAUCAAUUUUCCGACACUCUAUUGCUCAAAGUCUAAUGGAAUUGGAAGAAUUACACAUUAAUAGUUGUGGGGAGCUGCAAAGUUUAAUUGCAUAUAGUAGUUUUGGAGAAGAAAUAGUUGAUGUUGAUAAUGAAAAGAGUUAUGGAUUACUGUUUCCAAAGUUAAAAUCUCUUAAAAUUCAAGGAUGUGACAAAUUAAAAAUGGUGUCGUCAUUCCUACCUGGAGACCUUCCCAAGUUGGAAGAUUUAGAUGUAUGGGAUUGUAAGAAUCUAAAAUACAUAAUUGGUGAAUAUAGAGAUAUGGAUCAAGUUUCACUACAAGAAACUAUGCUCCCUUCACUAAUAACAGUGAGUCUUGGUCGAUUACCGAGUUUCCUUAGCAUAUUUGAAAAAUGCAAUAAAUGUAUGCCAAGGCCACUUGAAGUUUUGAAAGAAGAUUCGAAGAAUAAAGAUGAAAGCUCAGGUAAAAGAAGUGCGUUCUCAUGGGUUCAUGGGUGUUGUUUUGGGGCUCCAAUUAAAGAUACUAAUAUUGUAGUUUAUGAUGCCACGCUAAAACCCAGCACAAUCUCACAGGAAUUCUGUGCAUCAAGCAAAAGGACUGAAAUGUUUCAUACAGAGUGUCUUAUGAGACAACCAUUGAACCUACAAAAUAUAAGGCAGAUGACACUUUCGAGAUGUUCAAAAUUAAAGUCAUUGUUCAGUGUAUCCAUUGCCACAACCAUCAUGUUGGAGCAGUUGUUCAUCUAUGACUGUAAAGAAUUGAAGCACAUAAUAACAAAUGAAGUAGAGGGUGAUGGCUAUCCCAGCUGCAACUCCAAUUUCCCGAAACUACAGUGGCUCACAAUCUGGGCGUGCAAUAAAUUGGAAUUUAUAUUUCCAUGCACUUUUUUUGGAGGUCUGCAAAAAUUAAAAUCCAUAAAUGUUGACACCGCUCAUGAAUUGAAAUAUGUUUUUGGAAAAUGCCAUGAAGAGUGUCUAUCAAAUGAGAAUGAAAACAAGGAGCUCCACAUUGAUGUUCUUGCAUUGGAAACACUAUACCUUCACGAUGUACCAAAUAUGAGGAGCAUUUGUAUAAACAAUUAUCAAAUGGAAUGCACAUCUCAACAGAUUAUGGAAGCACCAAAGGAAAUUAAGGAGCAUAUGGAAGAUGUCACAAGUGAAGCUGCAAAGGAAUCUAAAGUACAAGAGAUUGUGAAUGUUGACAGACCACUCAUCCCAAGUGUGGGCACCCAAUAUUUUCUCAACUUCCGCAAUCUAAAAGAAAUAACAGUAAGGAUAAACAAGAAGUUGAAAAUCUCUGUUCUCUGUCUCCACAUGCAGAAGCCUAUCACAGUUGUCCAGGUUGGUUAUACGGUGCUGUGAGGAAUUAGUUAAUGUUGUUGAACAAGAUUUUAAUGGUCAUCGUCAAAUGAACUAUAGUUCCAUUUUCCCAAAACUGGAGCAUCUACAAAUCUGGAUGUGCAACAAGCUGGAGUUUAUAUUUCCUUUCUCUCUUUAUGGUGGUCUUCAAAAAUUAAAAUAUUUGCAAAUCUGGGAAGCUACUGAGUUGAAAUACAUUUUUGGAAAAUGUUAUGAUGAAGAUCAUUUAUCAAAUGAGAAUGAAAAUGAUAAGCAUCAUAUUGAUCUCUCUGCUUUGGAAGAACUGACACUUGAAGAUGUACCAAAGAUGAUAAAUAUUUGUGCAAAGAAAUAUCUGCCAUUGCCAUCUCUACGAAGCAUUCUUUUGGACGGUCUAGAGUUCAACGGAAGAUCUUUUCUUGAUUGUAUGGCUUAUUUACAAGGAAUACAAUUGAAUGUGAAAGCUCCAGAGGACAUGAAGAAGCAUAUGAAAGAUGUGACCAGUGAAGGAGUAAAGAAAUAUGAAAUACAAGAGAUUGUUAAAGUUGACAGGCCAGUCCCAACAGCGGGCUUCCAAUGUUUUCUCAAAGACAUAAGAAUAUAUAGUUGCAA